rnacentral:rRNA from 1 species
UACGAAGGGGGCUAGCGUUGCUCGGAAUUACUGGGCGUAAAGCGCACGUAGGCGGCUUUGUAAGUUAGAGGUGAAAGCCCGGGGCUCAACUCCGGAAUUGCCUUUAAGACUGCAUCGCUAGAAUUGUGGAGAGGUGAGUGGAAUUCCGAGUGUAGAGGUGAAAUUCGUAGAUAUUCGCAAGAACACCAGUGGCGAAGGCGGCUCACUGGCCCGAUACUGACGCUGAGGUGGCGAAAGCGUGGGGAGCAAACAGG